AGGAAAGUGACGCAAUUGGUAGCGUACCGGUCUCCAAAACCGGCUGUUUAGAGUUCGAGUCUCUACUUUCCUGCCA
rnacentral:tRNA from 26 species